CAAUGGCCUAGUGGUUAGAGCGUCCUCCUCGGAUGCGGAAUGUCGUGGGUUCGAUCCCCGGUCAAGU